CAGCAGCCACGGGAAUACAGAGGGUGCGGGCGUUAAUCGGAUUUACUGGGCGUAAAGCGUGCGUAGGCGGCUUUUUAAGUCGGAUGUGAAAUCCCUGAGCUUAACUUAGGAAUUGCAUUCGAUACUGGGAAGCUAGAGUAUGGGAGAGGAUGGUAGAAUUCCAGGUGUAGCGGUGAAAUGCGUAGAGAUCUGGAGGAAUACCGAUGGCGAAGGCAGCCAUCUGGCCUAAUACUGACGCUGAGGUACGAAAGCAUGGGGAGCAAACAGGAUUAGAUACCCCUGUAGUCCCUGUCUCUUAUAC
rnacentral:rRNA from 1 species